rnacentral:rRNA from 1 species
GGCGUGGUUGAUACAUGCAAGUCGAGCGGGAACGUUUCCUUCGGGGAACUAGUACAGCGGCGGACGGGUGAGUAAUACAUGGUCAAUCUGCCCUCGAGACCGGGAUAGCCACUCGAAAGGGUGGGUAAUACCGGAUAAGACCACGGACCCGCAUGGGUUUGUGAUAAAAAGGUUGGGAUCUUCGGACCUUCCGCUUGAGGAUGAGACCAUGACCUAUUAGCUUGUUGGUGGGGUAACGGCCUACCAAGGCUUUGAUGGGUAGCCGGCUUGAGAGGGUGGACGGCCACACUGGAACUGAGACACGGUCCAGACUCCUACGGGAGGCAGCAGUGCUGAAUCAUUCGCCAAUGCGCGAAAGCGUGACGGUGCGACGCCGCGUGCGGGAUGAAGGCUUUCGAGUUGUAAACCGCUGUCAGGAUAUAGAAACCCGUAGUCGUUAAUAGCGGCUACGCUGAUCAUAUCCAGAGGAAGCACAGGCUAAUCUCGUGCCAGCAGCCGCGGUAAUACGAGAUGUGCGAGCGUUGUUCGGAAUCACUGGGCGUAAAGGGUGCGUAGGCGGCCAAGUCAGUCAGGUGUGAAAGCCCCCGGCUCAACCGGGGAAUUGCACUUGAUACUGCUUGGCUUGAGGUCGAGAGGGGCAAGUGGAAUUCCAGGUGUAGCGGUGGAAUGCGUAGAUAUCUGGGAGAACGCCCACGGCGAAGGCAGCUUGCUGGCUCGAUCCUGACGCUGAGGCACGAAAGCUAGGGGAGCAAACAGGAUUAGAUACCCUGGUAGUCCUAGCCGUAAACGAUGGGCACUAGGUAUCGGGACCCCUGACGGUCUCGGUGCUGUAGCAAACGCGUUAAGUGCCCCGCCUGGGGAGUAUGGUCGCAAGGCUAAAACUCAAAGGAAUUGACGGGGGCUCACACAAGCGGUGGAGCAUGUUGUUUAAUUCGAAGCAACGCGAAGAACCUUACCUGGGCUUGACAUGCAGGAAGUACGAACCUGAAAGGGGAACCACCGGUAUCCAGUCCGGAACCAUCACAGGUGCUGCAUGGCUGUCGUCAGCUCGUGUCGUGAGACGUUGGGUUAAGUCCCGUAACGAGCGAAACCCUUGUCGUCUGUUGCUACCAGGUUAUGCUGGGCACUCUGGCGAGACUGCCGGUGUUAAACCGGAGGAAGGUGGGGACGACGUCAAGUCAUCAUGGUCCUUACGUCCAGGGCCACAAACGUGCUACAAUGGCAGGUACAGAGAGACGCAAUACCGCGAGGUGGAGCAAAUCUUCAAAACCUGCCCCAGUUCAGAUUGGAGGCUGAAAUUCGCCUCCAUGAAGGUGGAAUCGCUAGUAAUCGCGGAUCAGCUAUGCCGCGGUGAAUACGUUCCUGAGCCUUGUACACACCGCCCGUCAAGCCACCCAAGCUGGAGGUACCCGAAGUCCGGCAAUAAUUGUCCGGCCUAAGGUGAGUCUAGUGAGGGGGACUAAG